GGGGUCUAACUGGGGGGUUGGAUCCUGAGCCAUGCCUAUUGUUUUGGCUUAUUCAUGUUUCCUACUUAUCAUUGUAAAAAUAACCCUUGUGAUUGCAUGUGGGACAUGUACAAAUUUGUUUCCCGUUAUCACGCUCAAUAAUUUCGGUCUUACAUCACACUUAGACCCCAAUGAAACCCAUUUAUAAUGUUUCUAGGAUUAUUUCUCUAUAUGAUUUUGCAAACAUAUGUAACACAUUUAAAUAAGUUAAAGUGUUA
rnacentral:lncRNA from 1 species